UUAGAGUUUGAUCCUGGCUCAGGACGAACGCUAGCGACGUGUCUAAGAAAUGCAAGUCGAGCGAUGACGGGGACUUCGGUCCCUUGAUUAGCGGCGAACGGUCGCGUAACACGUAAGCAAUCUGCCCUAAAGAUUGGGAUAGCCCGGCGAAAGUCGGAUUAAUACCGGAUGUGGAUACUUUAUCGCAUGUUAUUGUAUCUAAACCCGCAAGGGGCUUUAGGAUGAGCUUGCGGCCUAUCAGCUUGUUGGUGGGGUAACGGCCUACCAAGGCGACGACGGGUAGCUGGUCUGAGAGGAUGGUCAGCCGGACUGGGACUGAGAUACGGCCCAGACUCCUACGGGGGGCAGCAAUUAAGAAUCUUGCGCAAUGGGGGAAACCCUGACGCAGCGACGUCGCGUGAACGAUGAAGUCUUUCGGGAUGUAAAGUUCUUUUGUCAAGGAAGAGUAAGAGACGGUACUUGACGAAUAAGCCCCGGCUAACUACGUGCCAGCAGCCGCGGUAAUACGUAGGGGGCGAGCGUUGUCCGAAUUUACUGGGCGUAAAGCGCGCGUAGGCGGUGAAUUAAGUUGGUGGUGAAAGUCCAAGGCUCAACCUUGGAAUUGCUUCCAAUACUGGUUGACUUGAGGCAUGAAUGGGGAAGUAGAAUUCCGGGUGUAGCGGUGAAAUGCGUAGAUAUUCGGAGGAAUACCGGUGGCGAAGGCGGCUUCCUGGUCAUGUCCUGACGCUGAGGUGCGAAAGCUAGGGUAGCGAACGGGAUUAGAUACCCCGGUAGUCUUAGCCGUAAACGAUGGAUACUAGUUGUCAAAGGUAUCGACCCCUUUGGUGACGAAGCAAA
rnacentral:rRNA from 1 species